rnacentral:rRNA from 1 species
UACGGGGGGAGCAAGCGUUGUUCGGAUUUACUGGGCGUAAAGGGCGCGUAGGCGGCCACUGCAAGUCGGUUGUGAAAUCUCCGGGCUUAACCCGGAAAGGUCAAUCGAUACUGCAGGGCUAGAGUGCAGAAGGGGCAACUGGAAUUCUCGGUGUAGCGGUGAAAUGCGCAGAUAUCAGGAGGAACACCGGUGGCGAAGGCGGGUCUCUGGGCAACAACUGACGCUGAGGAGCGAAAGCGUGGGGAGCGAACAGG